AAAUCUUUAGAAAGAAAGAAAGAUAGCAUCUCUGGGCAAAGACCGAAUCCUGUGUUUGCAGAAGGGAGGCACUGAGUGGGAGACGGUGCGUGGAGUCUGGGAGAGCAGUGGCGUUCUAGAAAGGCCUGAGUGGAGGAGGGAGGGGAAUCGGAUUAUUGGGUGUGUAGUUGGGGAUCUGAGUACCCAGAACUUUCAAAGACAGACAGUGACGUCUUGGCGAGUUGCUGGAGUUUCAGAGAGAGCUGAUGAAGGGCUGGUAGUUGGGUGAGGAUGAAGUGUCAGGCAUCCCGCCUCGGACCCAUAUCUAUUCACUUCUAUAUUCUUCAGCAACUGGAAUCUUCGUGUUACAGAGCCAACCUCAAGUAGCUGCGAAUGAAGGGAACAAGGCCUGUGGCACCAGCGUCCCACAAGGAAGCUGUGACACUCAGAGCAGGGGACUGACGAGUUUCACGGAGGGCCCAUUUGCAAAGCUGGAGCGGGUCCCCAGAGAAGCAGCAGGGAGGGGUGAAGCACCGGGACCAGCCAAGGCAGGAAGCCAUGAUCGCCCCCAGAUGCAUAGAUCUCUAAAAUGUUCCCGGAGCACUCUGGAAGAUUGCUGUGUAAUGUUUCUUCCAAAGGAAGGGGAACUUGCAGAACAUUGAAGAGAUGCCCAGACUGUGCAAAGCUAUAAGCGCCUUCAACUUACUAAGGAAUUAUGUUGGAACUAAGAGAAACUUAAGAGGUACUUGUUACAUGGAGUACAGUGAAAAAAACCCAACCACUGUAAUGAGAUUUUUCAGUUUGGGGCCCUUCCUGAGAACGCAGCGGCCCUCAGAGAUGAAGAGAGCCCCAUCAUAUACAUGAGAACUGAAGAAACGCCGUGCCUUCUGACAACCCCAUCUAGCAUAUGCCAACUCGAGGGUGCUGUGCUUCUAAUUUCAAACUCAUCAUCUGUUGGGGUACCACCACCAGCUGGCUUUGCCCUGGUUUUCUCACCAGGUGGCUCUCACCGUGCUCAGUGGGACAGUGAUGAGAAUGAAGAAAUGGAGAUUUUUGAGGGACUGAGUAAUCUGCCUGAAGUCGUAUAACGUGAAAAAACAGGAUUCAGACUAAAGCCUGUUUGACCUGAGAGUUUGUGUUCCUAAUCACGGUGCUAUGCUGUUUCCCUGUUUUUUUUUUGUUGUUGUUGAAAGAGUAAAUAAUACGUGCUCCUCCACCCUGGCGAGAGUGUAAUAUUAGCAGAUCUCCUCUGCUUGAAGACGUCCUCGGUGACCCGGAGGAAGGGUCUUGGGUUGCUGUGCCAGCAACACAGACAUUACAACUCAAUACCACUGACCGAGAUUUAGAAAUACACACCCACACACGGAAGUCCACACUUUACCAUCGCACAUUCAGCGAAGUGACAGAAAGUAAACCCACAACAAUGGUUGUUCUUGGGGGUGGGGCAUAAGAGUGGGAAAUGAGGCUAAAAGGCAACAAAUAAAUACAUAAGACAAGAGAGGGGCUCCUUCCAGGGCCCAACCAUGACAAUGGCGUGGACUGAAAAACAUCAGCCUUUGGAUUUGAGCAUCUCCCCUCCCUGCAAAACAGAGUAAGAGGCAGGACAAGGGAAAAUUAGAUGAGGUUGAGGAAAGAUUUGGAGUGGCAAGGAAGACAUGCGUGAGUGCCGCCUUCCUCGCAUUCAGAAAUCAUUCAUUUAGUCUUAAAAUGGAAGGACUUUAAUGCAAACAUCAGCUAUACCAAAGCAUGAGCUUGACUCCGUCGGGCAUUGAAUUUUGACGGAGAAUAAAAAGUCCGAGGUUCUCUCUGCAAAGGCAGAUGCUUAACAGACUGAGCCACCCAGGCAGCCCUAUGCUGGGUUUUGAAGGGGGGUAGACUUCUGAUAGCAAAGGCAUCAAAAUACCACAAUAGAGGGGAAUGUCCCAAACAGACAGACAGACAGACAGUCAGGUGGGCCCCAGGCAUGCUGGGACAUCUGCCAGGAACCGUUCAGAGCAGAAGACCAUAGUGUUCAGAUCUCAGCUUCCAGAUGAGUGUAAACUAGGAAACUGACCAACUAAAGACAUUCUUUACAGCCUGGUUGGGUGAGCAGGCAUUGGAGUGUGUAUCUGAGAUUAAAAGUAUGAGCAUGUGGGGUGCCUAGGUGGCUCAGAUGAUUAAGCGUUUGCCUUCGGCUCAGGUCAUGAUCUCUGGGUCCUGGGAUCGAGCCCCAUGUCGGGUUUCCAGCUCAGUAGGGAGCCUGCUUUCCAGCUCCCUCUGCCUUUCUCCCUGCUUGGGCUCUCUCUGCCUCUAACCAAAAAAUAAAAAAUUUUAAAAAGUAUAAGCAUGUGAAUGAACAAAGGUGGUUGGAGUGAACCCCAAAACUGAGCGAGGCUGUGCUGGGAGAAUUUGUUCCAGCUGGGCACUCCCUGGGGGUGUGGAUCCUGUAGCCGGUUGACCGCUGGAACACAGACAUGAACUCCCCAGGAGUCAACACAAAGAGUUCAUCUAACCUAUUGAGAGACAACACAGAACUGUUUAUGAAUUACAGCAGACUACUGGGAAAUCGUUGCAAGUCAAAAGGAUUAAAAAAGGCAGCUUGAAACUCAACUUUUCUAAGCAAGAAACAGUGACUCUAUGAGAAGACAAGGGUACCCAGAGUUUUUUCUGCCCACCGUGAAAAUGUGUGCGUAAUACCUGAACAAUUACGUUUUUGCAUCUGAAUAAGUUCAAGUGCCUAUCAGAGUCAAAUCCGUAAAUCACUAGGCUGUUUCAGAUACAAUGUAUGUGAGCGUGUCCCCAUGGAACUUGGAAUAAUUCCCUCCCAUAUAACUAUUUACACAUGUGUAUAGGUAGUUGAUAGAUAGAUGAUAGAUAGAUAGAUAGAUAGAUAGAUAGGUGUAAUUGAAUACGGGUUGAAAAGCCAGAUUGGGAAUGAAUUGUGAGGACCAUGCCUUCCUGGCUAAGGAGCUGGGGUUUCUCUUUAGACAACAGAAAAUUACGGGCAUGGAUUUCAGAUGAGAACUUUAUGGACUAAGCUUCAGUCUGCUUUCUGGAAGCUAAGGGUGAGUUAUAAACCGUCAACUAGGAAAGCCCUCUGUAAGGCCAAAUGGUCCUGUUCCAGUACCAGCGUGGCUGUUCCUGUACGAUGGCUCCAGGGAGUGGGGAAUCCCGAACCCAGGACCAGGCACAAGGGAUGUAGCAGCUUAGCUGUGGUGUCCUCGAAGGGCUAUCCGUGACAUCAACGUGGCAAGGCUGGGACAGAACGAAGCUCUGGACUUCUUUCCCUGACUCUCAGGGCUCUCCUUCAGCAGAUCCCUCUAUGUCCAGUAGAAGAAAAGAAAACAGAUUUUUGGAAAGACUAAAACUCAAGUUCAGGUUGUAGCAAGCUGUACGCCUAAGGAUAACCAGCAUUUCUAUGACACGAGACGGAAGAAGGAUGGUUAGACUCUUAAUAGAAUUCAUGAACGAUUGCCUGUCUCUUUGUGGGGCCUGCUUUGAUUUAGGGAGUCACUCUUUAUCCACACAGAGGGAAAUGGUCAGAGAUACACAGUCACAACCAGACUACUUGAAUUUUCUAAAUACAAUGUUCUGGAGUUGAGUAUAUCAAUACUAAGGGGACUCUCUUGUAUCUUUGAUGCAUUAGGCAG
rnacentral:lncRNA from 1 species